GUGUAGGCUAUGGAGCAGCAUAUCACGCAUAGAAAGACAAACCACAGUCAAACAACACAUGCACAAUAAGCUAGAGUUCACUUCAUAAUAUACGGGAGUUUUUGUUUUUGCUUUGCUUUGAGAUAGCUACCUGAGCAGCCAAAGACUCUAGUUUUAGAGCAUGCUUAAUAAGGAGCAUUCAGUUCACUGGUUACAUAAAUCCUGGUCGUGGCUUUGUUCAUGCAAGUAGCAGACGCAUUAAGAGACUCUCUUGAAGCUGGUCAAAGAGCAUUGUAGCGGAGCAUUGUUGAUGGUGAGCCUAGUUGCAUGAAGGACCAUUUUCCUCUUGAGAUGUCAGUCGAGGAGAAGCUAAUAUUAUAGGACAGGUAACCUGCAGUGAAACACAGGACAGAACACAAAGUUAAAGCAUGCUUAUGGCAGAUGAAUUUAGGAACAACACAUGAGAACAUAUCUGGGUUGUACCUAUAGGUAAUUAAUCUCUGCAUAGCUGGCGCAGAGUAGUCACUGCCUUGAUUUCUUUAAUAUGCCUUCCAGUAGUAGAGCUCCUUUUUUAGAAGUUAUUCUGGUUAGAGAUGAACAAUCGCUAUGUCUAUUUAGGCUUAAAAAUGCAGAGGUAGACACACAGUAUAAGAAUUGGCACCUUUUGUUUUCGGUCUUGGUCAUCUAACACUGGUCAGCCUUAUCAUUCUUUCCUUCAACAGUUGCUGAAAUAGCUUCAGCCUUAUCAUCAGACUACUCCUGUUGCACCUAGAAAACCAAGUGGUUUGGUAACAGAGCAAGAUGAGAUAUUAAUAUCCAAAGGACUGGCUCGAGCACGUUUUAGCUCACUCAAUCAGCUAGACAGCUUCGAAUAGAAUUUCUUUAUGUCCAUCUAUAUAUUUGUAUCUCCGUAAAACAUGCCACACUAGGUUUUCUUAUCCAAAGGACUGGCUCGAGCACGUUUUAGCUCACUCAAUCAGCUAGACAGCUUCGAAUAGAAUUUCUUUAUGUCCAUCUAUAUAUUUGUAUCUCCGUAAAACAUGCCACACUAGGUUUUCUUCCUCAUGUGAGAUAAGAAUUUGAUUGUACAAUUGUGCAAUCGAGAACGGCAUGAGAGAAAGCUAUAUCAACACAGCAACUAUCUUUUGCUGUACAAUUGAGUUGCUUUCAUAUGAGAUCUAAAAUAUGUGCAUUCACAUGUGUUUAUAUGAGUUGUAGAAAGAAACUUUACCUAAGAAGAAGGACCCAAUAAUCAUAUUUUCACAAAAGCACAAUUAGGGAUUACAGAGGAUUUU
rnacentral:lncRNA from 1 species